AACGAACGCUGGCGGCAGGCUUAACACAUGCAAGUCGAACGCCCCGCAAGGGGAGUGGCAGACGGGUGAGUAACGCGUGGGAACAUACCCUUUUCUACGGAAUAGCUCUGGGAAACUGGAAUUAAUACCGUAUACGCCCUACGGGGGAAAGAUUUAUCGGGGAAGGAUUGGCCCGCGUUGGAUUAGCUAGUUGGUGGGGUAAAGGCCUACCAAGGCGACGAUCCAUAGCCGGUCUGAGAGGAUGAUCAGCCACAUUGGGACUGAGACACGGCCCAAACUCCUACGGGAGGCAGCAGUGGGGAAUAUUGGACAAUGGGCGCAAGCCUGAUCCAGCCAUGCCGCGUGAGUGAUGAAGGCCUUAGGGUUGUAAAGCUCUUUCAGUAGGGAAGAUAAUGACGGUACCUACAGAAGAAGCCCCGGCUAACUUCGUGCCAGCAGCCGCGGUAACAC
rnacentral:rRNA from 1 species